GGAGCUGUGGCUCAGUGGUAGAGCACCUGCCUGGCAUGUGUGAAGCACUGGGUUCAAUUCUCAGCACCA
rnacentral:tRNA from 1 species